UACGUAGGGGGCAAGCGUUAUCCGGAUUCACUGGGCGUAAAGGGAGCGCAGGCGGCAUGGCAAGUCUGAUGUGAAAACCCGGGGCCCAACCCCGGGAGUGCAUUGGAAACUGCCAGGCUGGAGUGUCGGAGGGGUAAGCGGAAUUCCUAGUGUAGCGGUGAAAUGCGUAGAUAUUAGGAGGAACACCAGUGGCGAAGGCGGCUUACUGGACGACUACUGACGCUGAGGCUCGAAAGCGCGGGGAGCAAACAGG
rnacentral:rRNA from 1 species